UACGGAGGGGACUAGCGUUGUUCGGAAUUACUGGGCGUAAAGCGCACGUAGGCGGAUUUGUAAGUCAGGGGUGAAAUCCCGGGGCUCAACCUCGGAACUGCCUUUGAUACUGCAGAUCUCGAGUCCGGAAGAGGUGAGUGGAAUUCCUAGUGUAGAGGUGAAAUUCGUAGAUAUUAGGAAGAACACCAGUGGCGAAGGCGGCUCACUGGGCCGGUACUGACGCUGAGGUGCGAAAGCGUGGGGAGCAAACAGG
rnacentral:rRNA from 1 species